GGAGAGGUACCCAAGUGGCUUAAGGGGCGGGUUUGCUAAACCUGUAGCAGGGCACACCUUGCCCUGGCGAGGGUUCGAAUCCCUCCCUCUCCGCCA
rnacentral:tRNA from 1 species